rnacentral:rRNA from 1 species
UACGUAGGUGGCGAGCGUUGUCCGGAUUUAUUGGGCUUAAAGGGUGCGUAGGCGGUCCUAUAAGUCAGUGGUGAAAUAUCGCAGCUCAACUGUGAGGGUGCCAUUGAUACUGUAGGACUUGAGUGAAUUUGAGGUAGGCGGAAUUGACGGUGUAGCGGUGAAAUGCUUAGAUAUCGUCAAGAACACCGAUAGUGAAGACAGCUUACCAAGCUUCAACUGACGCUGAGGCACGAAAGUGUGGGGAUCAAACAGG